GACGAACGCUGGCGGCGUGCUUAACACAUGCAAGUCAAACGAUGAAGCCCUAGCUUGCUGGGGUGGAAGAGUGGCGAACGGGUGAGUAACACGUGAGUAACCUGCCCCUGACUCUGGGAUAAGCGCUGGAAACGGUGUCUAAUACUGGAUAUGACCUAUCACCGCAUGGUGUGUGGGUGGAAAGAUUUAUCGGUUGGGGAUGGACUCACGGCCUAUCAGCUUGUUGGUGAGGUAAUGGCUCACCAAGGCGCCGACGGGUAGCCGGCCUGAGAGGGUGACCGGCCACACUGGGACUGAGACACGGCCCAGACUCCUACGGGAGGCAGCAGUGGGGAAUAUUGCACAAUGGGCGCAAGCCUGAUGCAGCAACGCCGCGUGAGGGAUGACGGCCUUCGGGUUGUAAACCUCUUUUAGUAGGGAAGAAGCGAAAGUGACGGUACCUGCAGAAAAAGCACCGGCUAACUACGUGCCAGCCGCCGCGGUAA
rnacentral:rRNA from 1 species